AACGAACGCUGGCGGCAGGCUUAACACAUGCAAGUCGAACGCAUCCUUCGGGGUGAGUGGCAGACGGGUGAGUAACGCGUGGGAACGUGCCCUUCAGUUCGGAAUAACCCAGGGAAACUUGGGCUAAUACCGGAUACGUGCGAGAGCAGAAAGAUUUAUCGCUGAAGGAUCGGCCCGCGUCUGAUCAGCUAGUUGGUGAGGUAAUGGCUCACCAAGGCGACGAUCAGUAGCUGGUCUGAGAGGAUGAUCAGCCACAUUGGGACUGAGACACGGCCCAAACUCCUACGGGAGGCAGCAGUGGGGAAUAUUGGACAAUGGGCGCAAGCCUGAUCCAGCCAUGCCGCGUGAGUGAUGACGGCCUUAGGGUUGUAAAGCUCUUUCGUCCGGGACGAUAAUGACGGUACCGGAAGAAGAAGCCCCGGCUAACUUCGUGCCAGCCGCCGCAGUAAAAC
rnacentral:rRNA from 1 species